UACGGAGGGUGCAAGCGUUGUUCGGAUUUAUUGGGCGUAAAGGGCGUGUAGGCGGUUCGUUAAGUCUGAUGUGAAAGCCCCGGGCUCAACCCGGGAAGUGCAUUGGAAACUGGCGAACUUGAGUACGGGAGAGGGCAGUGGAAUUCCUGGUGUAGCGGUGAAAUGCGUAGAUAUCAGGAGGAACACCUGUGGUGUAGACAGCUUACUGGACCACUUCUGACGCUGAGACACGAAAGCGUGGGUAGCAAACAGG
rnacentral:rRNA from 1 species